GCCUCGGUGGUGUAGUGGUAGAGCACGCGUUCACGGUAUGGAUCAAACGCGGGUUCGAUUCCCGGCUGAGGUC